rnacentral:lncRNA from 1 species
AAUUCUGUUGGGACGGACUGUUUCUGUGGCAUUCUGGGGCUGUCGUUGGGGAAUUCUGUUGGGAUGGACUGUUUCUGCACCUGUCUGUUGGACAAGCAGUUAAGCCCCUCAUGAGUAGAGAGACCCUGCCUCGUCCAUCCUUGUGCCUCCAGGGUCUAGCCCCAUGCCUGCAUGGCCGCCAUUCCUGGACCUGGACUUGACAUCCUGUUCUGAGUUGCAGUAGUUGUUCCGUAGUUACAAAGCAGUGUGUGCACGGGGAGAGGGCAGUGGCAAGGGAGCACCUGCACAGGGCACCAGGCCUCUCCAGGGAUGUGGACAUGGGGGCUGGACUCCCAGCUGCAGACCUGCUGUGGGGUGCCUCUGAUCAGGACUUCGGGGUGCCUCUGAGCAGGACUUCUUCUGAAGCAAGACUAACGGGAGCCUGGAGGCGACGGGAGAAGCCUGUUCAGAGUCCCCGGGAUGAAGCGGGCCCCUAGUGAGCGGGACCUGCUGGCUAGCUGGGACCCCCCAUUCUCUCUGUGUCAAAUGGGCAUGCUUGCUCUUCCCUCUUGAAGUAUGGUGAGGAUUAAAUAAUGGAGAAGGUGUAGACAGCUCUAAAACCCAAUGAGUGCGGCUGUCGUCAAUAUGCAGGCCUCUCCGUAAACCAGCGUUAAAGAGCUCUGCAGAGUUUUGCAGACAGUGAGGAAGCCGUGUGCUUCCCGGCAUGCAUCCUUUAUAUGUUUCUCUGGGUGUUUGUUUCCAAUUAGAAUAAUCAAUUACACACUUGCCAGGUGUCUCAUGUAUGAGCCAGUUGGGAAGAUUAAAACUGGACAUUAAUGCAGCAAGAGGAGGUGCUUAACUCGUGUGAUAAGGUAGCAAAAACCAGGGUGAGAAUAAAACACUUUCGGGAAAACUAAACAGCGGACUCAGUAUCUGUCACCAAACUGUGGCCAGCGUGGUGAGGUGACAAGAACAGCCUUUCUGAUCAGUUUGGAGGUUAAAAAGACUUGUGGA